GAUGAACGCUAGCGGCAGGCCUAAUACAUGCAAGUCGAACGAGAUUAAGGGGCUUGCUCCUUAUGAAAGUGGCGCACGGGUGCGUAACGCGUAUGCAACCUACCUCAAUCAGGGGGAUAGCCCGAAGAAAUUCGGAUUAAUACCGCAUAACAACACAGUACAGCAUUGUACAAUGUUCAAAUAUUUAUAGGAUUGAGAUG
rnacentral:rRNA from 1 species